rnacentral:rRNA from 1 species
GAUGAACGCUGGCGGCGUGCUUAACACAUGCAAGUCGAACGGUAAAGCCCUGCUUGCCUGGUGUAUUAGGGGCGAACGGGUGAGUGAGACAUGAGUACCCUGCCCUCUACUCUUUGAUAAGCCUUGAAGACUGGGUCUAUAACCUGAUAGCGGAGUCCACCGCAUGGUGGGUGUUGGGGAGCUUUAGCGGUUUUGGAUGGACACGCGGCGUAUCAGCUUGUGGUUGUGGGAGUGGCUCACCCAGGCGACGACGGGUAGCCGGCCUGAGAGCGUGAGCGGGCACACUGGGACUGAGAGACGGCGCAGACUCCUACGGGAGGCAGCAGUGGGGAAUAUUGCACAAUGGGCGCAAGCCUGAUGCAGCGACGCCGCGUGAGGGAUGACGGCCUUCGGGUUGUAAACCGCUUUCGGUAGGGAAGAAGCGAAAGUGACGGUACCUGCAGAAGAAGCACCGGCUAACUACGUG